ACAUGUUCUCAUAUGAUCACUGAAGUUAAGCAACAUUGGGCCUAGUCAGUACUUAGAUGGGUGAUCACUUAGGAAUAUCAGGUGCUGUAA